rnacentral:rRNA from 1 species
CCUACGGGAGGCAGCAGUGGGGAAUAUUGGACAAUGGGGGGAACCCUGAUCCAGCCAUGCCGCGUGUGUGAAGAAGGCCCUCGGGUUGUAAAGCACUUUCAGUGAGGAAGAACGCCUGGUGGUUAAUACCCAUCAGGAAAGACAUCACUCACAGAAGAAGCACCGGCUAACUCCGUGCCAGCAGCCGCGGUAAUACGGAGGGUGCGAGCGUUAAUCGGAAUUACUGGGCGUAAAGCGCGCAUAGGUGGCUUGAUAAGCCGGUUGUGAAAGCCCCGGGCUCAACCUGGGAACGGCAUCCGGAACUGUCAAGCUAGAGUGCAGGAGAGGAAGGUAGAAUUCCCGGUGUAGCGGUGAAAUGCGUAGAGAUCGGGAGGAAUACCAGUGGCGAAGGCGGCCUUCUGGACUGACACUGACACUGAGGUGCGAAAGCGUGGGUAGCAAACAGGAUUAGAUACCCCGGUAGUC